rnacentral:tRNA from 1 species
GGGGGAGUUCCCGAGUUGGCCAAAGGGGGCAGACUGUAAAUCUGUUGUCGACGACUUCAGUGGUUCGAAUCCGCUCUCCCCCACCA